CCCAGGCCAUGGUAUUUCCUUACAGUAGCCCGAGCAGACUGACUCCGCGUGAUGUAAGCGGGACAACUCUUGUGGAACACUCACCCCAGCGGCUGGGCUCUGGCCAUCCCGGACCCACAGCCCUCUGAAUCAGAAGUCUUAGCACAACAGAAGCAAACAGCACGUGCCACAACCCUUAGAGAUGGACACUACGGCACGGCCCUCUCAAGUUCCAUACACCCAACCAGUCAUUUUAAAUUCAUCAUAAUUGCAAAAUACUGUCCAGAAACAUCAGAAAGUAAAGUAGAUUUGCAAAAUGGAGCCGCAUUAGCUGCUGAGAAUUACCCUUCUUCCAACAACCAAGGCAACGAUUCUUUACUCCACCAGCUCUGGUAUUAGCUUUGUGAUGAAAUGUACAUAAAUGCAAAUACUGGUUACACUGAGAUUGAAUGUUAUUUUGU